UACGUAGGGUCCGAGCGUUGUCCGGAAUUAUUGGGCGUAAAGAGCUCGUAGGCGGCAUGUCGCGUCUGCUGUGAAAGACCGGGGCUCAACUUCGGUUUUGCAGUGGAUACGGGCAUGCUAGAGGUAGGUAGGGGAGACUGGAAUUCCUGGUGUAGCGGUGGAAUGCGCAGAUAUCAGGAGGAAUACCGGUGGCGAAGGCGGGUCUCUGGGCCUUACCUGACGCUGAGGAGCGAAAGCAUGGGUAGCGAACAGG
rnacentral:rRNA from 1 species